UUUUUGCAUGAGGGUUUAAUGAAAGGUUAAAAUAAUAAUAAAAAGUUAAAUGAAGAUCUUCUACCUCGACACUGUAAGGUACAAGAGGAAGGCUUAAGUAAGUAAGUAAGUAUGAAAAUCUAGAGUGAAUCUACCGAUUCGUUAACAUUAUACUGUGCUCGUAUUCUAUACGCCGCUUCGCGGCUCGUGUCGUAUCCGUCAUACUCGCCUCAUAAUGACCAUCAUUUGUAAUGAUAUGCCGAUAUGCUGAACACGCCUCGACACUGUGAACCGAGCGAUUCUCUCAAUUCGCGCAGAUGCCCCCACCGAGUUCCACCUCUCCGAGACAACACCGGCACACGGAUAUUUAAGAAGGUCGCAAGCAGAAAUCAGUCAGUCCUGAACGACCGUUCUGGGCUCCAUAACCAGCCAAGCGAAGUAAGCGAGGCAGGCCGACCUGAGUCGCGACGGGCACCGUAUUGACGUGAUUCGCAAACUUAGGCAGGCCAACUCGAGACGCAAGGUGUACCGAAGUGAGGUAAUUUGCGACUCGUAAUUCAACGGAGGCAAGCGUAACGCCCAUCCGGAGGAGGAAUUCGCUGGGACGAAAUAGAAAAUUGAAUUAUUAUAUUGACUUAUUUUGUACAUAAUUUAGAAUUAAUAGAUUUGCUUUGUUUUCAA
rnacentral:lncRNA from 1 species